UUUAUGGAGAGUUUGAUCCUGGCUCAGGAUGAACGCUGGCGGCGUGCCUAAUACAUGCAAGUCGAGCGAACAGAUAAGGAGCUUGCUCCUUUGACGUUAGCGGCGGACGGGUGAGUAACACGUGGGUAACCUACCUAUAAGACUGGAAUAACUCCGGGAAACCGGGGCUAAUGCCGGAUAACAUGUUGAACCGCAUGGUUCUACAGUGAAAGACGGUCUUGCUGUCACUUAUAGAUGGACCCGCGCCGUAUUUAGUUGGUGGGGUAACGGCCUACCAAGGCGACGAUACGUAGCCGACCUGAGAGGGUGAUCGGCCACACUGGAACUGAGACACGGUCCAGACUCCUACGGGAGGGCAGUAGGGAAUCUUCCGCAAUGGGCGAAAGCCUGACGGAGCAACGCCGCGUGAGUGAUGAAGGUCUUCGGAUCGUAAAGCUCUGUUGUUAGGGAAGAACAAAUGUGUAAGUAACUGUGCACAUCUUGACGGUACCUAACCAGAAAGCCACGGCUAACUACGUGCCAGCAGCCGCGGUAAUACGUAGGUGGCAAGCGUUAUCCGGAAUUAUUGGGCGUAAAGCGCGCGUAGGCGGUUUUUUAAGUCUGAUGUGAAAGCCCACGGCUCAACCGUGGAGGGUCAUUGGAAACUGGAAAACUUGAGUGCAGAAGGAAAGUGGAAUUCCAUGUGUAGCGGUGAAAUGCGCAGAGAUAUGGAGGAACACCAGUGGCGAAGGCGGCUUUCUGGUCUGCAACUGACGCUGAUGUGCGAAAGCGUGGGAUCAAACAGGAUUAGAUACCCUGGUAGUCCACGCCGUUGACGCUCUUCCCCUAGUGAGGGGGUUUCCGCCCCUUAGUGCUGCAGCUAACGCAUUAAGCACUCCGCCUGGGGAGUACGGUCGCAAGACUGAAACUCAAAGGAAUUGACGGGGACCCGCACAAGCGGUGGAGCAUGUGGUUUAAUUCGAAGCAACGCGAAGAACCUUACCAAAUCUUGACAUCCUUUGACCGCUCUAGAGAUAGAGUUUUCCUCUUCGGAGGACAAAGUGACAGGUGGUGCAUGGUUGUCGUCAGCUCGUGUCGUGAGAUGUUGGGUUAAGUCCCGCAACGAGCGCAACCCUUGAACUUAGUUGCCAUCAUUCAGUUGGGCACUCUAAGUUGACUGCCGGUGACAAACCGGAGGAAGGUGGGAUGACGUCAAAUCAUCAUGCCCUUAUGAUUUGGGCUACACGUGCUACAAUGGACAAUACAAAGGGCAGCGAAACCGCGAGGUCAAGCAAAUCCCAUAAAGUUGUUCUCAGUUCGGAUUGUAGUCUGCAACUCGACUACAUGAAGCUGGAAUCGCUAGUAAUCGUUAGAUCAGCAUGCUACGGUGAAUACGUUCCCGGGUCUUGUACACACCGCCCGUCACACCACGAGAGUUUGUAACACCCGAAGCCGGUGGAGUAACCAUUUUGGAGCUAGCCGUCGAAGGUGGGACAAAUGAUUGGGGUGAAGUCGUAACAAGGUAGCCGUAUCGGAAGGUGCGGCUGGAUCACCUCCUUUCU
rnacentral:rRNA from 1 species